rnacentral:lncRNA from 1 species
AGAGAUCUCAACCACACGAACCAGUUCAUCGUGGGCCUUGCAUUGUGUGCUCUUGGGAACAUCUGCUCUGCUGAAAUGGCGCGGGAUCUUUCACCUGAAGUGGAGAGGUUGAUGCGCAGUAGGGAAGUCAAUACAAAGAAAAAGGUAUCUUUCCCUGUAUAUUGUAAUUCAAUCGAGCCCAGUAGACUAGUAGAGCAUGGCAAAAUCAAACAACUGAUAGCUGAAUUAUUGAUGUGUCAUUUUAAGGAAUUUGAACAGAGUCUUGAAACCUAGGUUGAUUCAGAAACUGCAUCUUUUAGAACUACCAAAUUCAGUCUCCUUGUGAAUGUUUUCAUCACAACUGCUGCAUGCGUAUUUUUGGAUGCAAUUUAAUUCAUGGUAUACUUCUACUUCUUUAUUAGGCUGCUUUGUGCUCUAUAAGGAUUGUCAGGAAAGUGCCAGAUUUGGCAGAGAACUUCAUGGGCCUGGCUGCAUCAUUGUUGAAGGAGAAACACCAUGGGGUCCUCAUAUCUGCAAUUCAGCUCUGCACAGAACUAUGCAAAGCAAGCAAAGAUUCUCUAGAGUACCUGAGGAAGGUAAGGGCAUCUAUUUCUUACCACAAGGCCCCAACAUCACCAAUAUAAGAGCAUCUCCAAAAGACUCUUUAUUUUUUACUCUCUAUUUAACUUUUUAUUUGUCUCUCCAUAAAUAUUAAACUCUAUAUAUAACAUCUCAUUCCAAUAAACUCUCCAACAUACAAGUUAGCUUGGCUAGCGAGAGUUGCUAGCCAAAUUUGGCUAGUGAGGGAGUUAAUUUACAGAGCCAGAUAGCUUAGCAAGUUAAAUGGCUAGUCUGUUGGAGAGCUAUUAUGCUAUUAAGUAGUUAAAAUUUAGCUUGACAAGCUAUUUAGCUAGUCUCUUGGAGAUGCUCUAAGUAUAGAAUCACAGGUGAACAUGCAGAAAAAAACUGGAAUCAGGUCAUUUAUUUGUUUAACAUUUUCUUGUGACGAUUAAAUGAUGAUCCUAUUUGAUAAUUCAUGUAUCACUCUCUCUUGCUCUGUAUAGGAGAUGCACAGUUUUAUAAUUUUUAACAUUUUCUUUGCUGAAAACGGCACUAUUCCUGAGUGGCUGAGACACAAUUUCUUCUCAUUGCAGAACUGCAUCGAAGGUUUGGCUCGCAUACUGAGAGAUGUGUCCAAUAGGUCAUAUGCUCCGGAGUAUGAUGUUUCUGGCAUUGUUGAUCCAUUCUUGCAUAUUCGAGUCCUUAAACUUUUGCGGAUCUUGGGUCAAGGAGAUGCAGAUUGCAGUGAAUAUAUGAAUGAUAUUCUUGCUCAGGUGAUUGAUUAAUCUUUAUCUUUGGUGUCACAUGCAUUACACCUGCAUUUAUUGUUUUAUGGUACAAACUACAAAGCACACAUAUUUCAGCAAGGGCAUGCAUCUUUUUGUCUUUUUUUUUCUUGGUUUCAUACUUUCAUGUCUCUUGGUCUUACAUGCCAAUCAUGGUAUAGGCUUACAAUAUUAUAGAUCUGCUAUAUAAUACCAUGGAGUAGUUUUUCAUUAUUUAACCAAUGACAGAUGUAUGGUAUAUGCCAUGUUGUGCUGACUAAACUUGCAAUUAUUAUUUUUAUCCAGGUUGCAACAAAAACUGAGUCCAACAAGAAUGCUGGAAACGCCAUUCUGUAUGAAUGUGUUCAGACUAUAAUGGGUAUUGAAGCUACUAGUGGUUUACGUGUGCUGGCAAUCAAUAUUUUGGGUAGAUUCUUGUCUAACCGUGACAACAAUAUAAGGUCGAUAUUCUUUUCUUGUUGCUCUCGAUUGCUUAUUGUUUUUCCUGCUUUUUUUUAUAAACCUUGUUCAUGUUUAGUUUCUUCUACCAUGCUCGAUAGACCUGCUAGUUGUAAUAUGUGCCUAUAUUAAACUUGCAAUUGCAGUUAUUAUAGCCUAUGAAAUUGAUUCGGUUGCAACUAUUUUUCAUGCAAUAAUGCAUGGAACAAAUGGUUACUAUUGGUUAUGUACUUAUGUUCUUUUGGUCAAUGAAACAUUUAUAGGUGGGGUAUUUACUGUGCCUGUCCUCUUUCAGAUAUGUUGCUCUUAACAUGCUUAUGAGGGCCAUUACAGUUGAUGCACUAGCAGUGCAGAGACACAGAACAACAAUAUUAGAGUGUGUAAAGGUAAGAACUAAGGUGCCGUUUGGUUCACAUAUUUGUAACGUAAUGGGUAACUGAUAACGUUAAAUCAUGUUUGUUUUAGUCCAACCGUAAUCAGAUACCACACUAAAAUUUGAUACCUGCCUAUUCAAAUUUGUUACCGCCAGUAAUCGAACGUAAACCAUUACCAUUACCAUUUGCGUUACAUUUCUUGAACCAAACAGCACCUAAGAACACAUGCAAUACUAUCCAUGCUUAGUGCUUGUCUUACUAUAUCGUAUGCUAAUUCAUGCAUUUGUUAGAUCACAAGAACCCUCAUAUUUUGCCACAUGCCCACACUUCUUAACCUUCAGCAUGUUAGCAUAAUAUCUCAAGAUUUAGACAUUCAUUUUUUUUUAUUUUUUUUGCAAAUCCAGUGUAGAUUGUGGACCCACUUUCUGUUUCCAACUUUGAAAAGUUCUUGAAUGAAUGCAUGUGACAAAGGGAUUGGCAAAUCUAGCCCAAUAUUGGGUUCGGAGCAUCAAUCAUGCAGUUGUUUAGAAAGUGCUUCUCUUGUAUUCCCUCUAUUCCAAAUAGUAAGUCGUUUUGACUUUUCUAGGUUUUUAGAUUUAGCUAUGUAUCAAGUAGGCCUGAGCAAAAAAGGCUGAAACCGAAGACCAAACCUGAAUGGACCGCGACCGAGACUGAACAGACUGAAAAUUUGGUCGUCGGUCCUUUGUUUGGUUGCCUGUUGCUGAUAACUGAUCAAAUAGAUUGGGUGUCCGGUCCUGUAGUUCGGGUAACCGAUAUACCCUAACAGGCAACAGUCCAGUAAAAUCAGCCCAGCUAAAGCCCAUCAGCGAAACCCAGAUUUUAUAUUUAAGCUCACUUGAGACUCAACUUCCCAUCCUAGUUCAGCUAACCCUAGCCGCCACAUAGCUCUGGCACCGCUACACACCACCAGAAAAAUCGCAGGCGCCGCAGCUGGUCAGCAGCGGACCAUUGGUGCCGACCCCCCAACACCCCGUCUCGUCUGCUCGGCGUUGCGGCCUGCCAGUGGUUCAGUGCUACAUGCUGCACACUUGCAUGUGCAGGCAGUCAUCGACAAGCGACGGCAUCUGUUCGUGCAUCCCUACCAUAGGAUCCUAAAGGAGCGAGGAAAGUACAACAGGAAAAGAGCUUCGUUUCUGGGCAGAAGGAUCUGCUGGAAUUACUAGUAUCAAGUAUGAGACUUGAUGAUCUGAUGCCUCAACCUGUUGAUGUGCUGGCUGUGAAUGUGCAUGUUAGACUAUGAGAUGCAUCGGUCUUUUCAUGUGAAACCGAGAAACCAAACUAAAAACCAAGAGACCAAAUUGUCAGUCUUCGUUAAAUCAGGCACAACUUCGUUUUAUGAUUCUGGAAGACCGGAUUAAAAAACCCUGAAAUAACUGACCCGAUAAUUUGGUUAAAACCAAACGCCCUACCCAUAGUAUCAAGACAUAGUGUAUAUCUAGAUGCACCAAAGAAGCUAUGUAACUAGAAAAGACCAAACAACUUACAAUUUGGAAGGAUGGGGUACUUUCUAAACCUGGAUUCAUGUUAUUUGAGGCAGAUUUUUCAUUAUCUUUGUUACUGCUCUUGCAAGAAGGGCGGGCCUGGUGCAGCGGUAGAGCCUACCGUUUGUAACCGGAAGGUCCCGGGUUCGAGCCCCAACCUCUGCAUAUUGGGCUAGUUUGGUUUGUAGCGUGGGAACCUUUGCCUGGCCCAGGCACGCACCCUAGGCGUCCGAUUCCCUACGCCUGGGGUCGAAUGUUGUUGCCUGGCAGGCACAUCCAGGCCAGGACGGCAAGCAAACAAGCCCAUUAUGCGGGUAAGGCCACCCUAGGCGUCCGAUUCCCUACGCCUGGGGUCGAAUGUUGUUGCCUGGCAAGCACAUCCAGGCCAGGGCGGCAAGCAAACAAGCCCAUUAUGCGGGUAAGGCUUGGCGCUUAAAGAUACCCUUCCCUAGACCCCAUACAGUGCGGGAAGUCUACGACAUUGGGUACGCUCACAGCUCUUGCAAAGAAAUAUUUGAGUCAACAGUUCACAAUAUAUGAUCUACUCCCUCCGUUCCAAUUUAUAGGUUGUUUUGGCAUUUCUAGUUACACAACUAUUCAACUAUUAUGUAUCCCGACAUAUCGUAUAUCUAGGUGCAUAACAAAAUCUAUGUACCUAGAAAAGCCAUACCUAUAAUUUGGGACAGAGGGAUAUCAGUUUCUAUCUGUCCUGUUUAACUAGCUACAAAAUCUAUGUAUAUCAAGUCUGCUGUUUAACUCUACAUCAAACCUGACCUUUACUGUGUCAAGCGAAAGGGCCUCUAGCCAAGUUGGUUAGGUGGUCUGAGUAGCACUCCUCAGGUCCUGGGUUCGACUCCCCGUAGGAGCGAAUUUCAGGCUGUGGUUAAAAAAAUCCCCUUGUUUGUCCCACGACAAAGCACAGGUCUAAGGCCGGGUCGCGGUUGUUUCUCACAUGGACUACGGGUCCGUUGUGUAUGGGUGGGGCAGUGAUUCGGGGGUUUUCUCGACCUACUUGAGGUCUUCUUCUUAAUAUAAUGCCGGGAGCUGUCUUACCCCCCGUAGGUCAAGUUUUUUUUUUUACUGUUUCAAGCAGUCUAUUUUGUUAUUCUGGUUUUUAUUAUUUCUAAUUGCUGUGUACCUUUCAGGAUGCCGAUGCCUCCAUUCGCAAAAGGGCUCUUGAACUUGUUUAUUUGUUAGUCAAUGAUACAAAUGUAAAGCCUUUGACUAAAGAGCUCAUCGAUUACUUAAACAUAGCGGAUCCAGAUUUUAUAGGAGAUCUCACAGUAAAUAUAUGCUCUAUAGUUGAAAAGUUAGUAUCUUUUUAUUUUGUUGGUUCUUAUUGACUUAUGGGUGUUUAACAAUGUUGCAUUGCCAAUAGGUUUUCUCAAGAGAAGUUAUGGUACCUUGACCAGAUGUUCAAUGUUUUAUCUCUGGUAAGGACUUGAGUACUGUGAAGAUACUUUUAUAUCCAAAAAAUCUGCACCUCAGAACACCAUUUUUUUGGUAUCUUGCAAUUUACUUCUAACCUUGCAUCUUUUUGGCUGCGAUACUGUUGGAAGACUCAGUUAUUUCAUCUUCUGAACAAAUCUGUUCAACCUGCAUGCUUGUAAUUUGUAAAUAUGCAGGACCCUAAGUAGUGUAUAGUGCAUUGACAUUUGUUGAGAAGAAUUAAGAAUUAAGAAACUGUAGGGAAGAAACUUUCUCAAUAUUUCUUCAAAGCUAGUCUGUCCAUAGGGAAGAAACUCUAAUACUGGCUAUGCCCUUGAUUUUAACCUCAGUCUUUGGUUUCCUGCAUUUCUCCUUGCCCUACUUACAACAUGCACACAGCAACUUCCAAAGGAUGCCAAUUGCCAGACACUUCCACUAUCACAAAAAACCCGUCAUAACUUUUUUGAACUACUCAAAUAUUGGUAUCUCUGCACACACGUUGUUAUGUUGCUGGCUGGGAAUUGAGACACUGUUCAUUGUUAUGUUGUGAUCCAUUGCUUGACAUAGCUUGAGAUAUCAAACCGAAUUCAUGUUCCACUCUUAUUGUUGAACAGGCUGGAAAUCAUGUGAAGGAUGACAUAUGUCAUGCCCUUAUUGUUGUACUAAGUAAUACAUCAGAGCUUCAAGGAUAUUCAGUGAGGUCAUUGUAUAAGGCCUUACAAGAAUAUGGUAAACAGGUUAGGGGAAAGUUUAUACUCUCCAUGCAUUCCAUUCCAUCUCAUCCUACUUGAUGCCUGUAACACUGUCAAUAUUAUAAUGAUUAGGGAAGUUUAGUAAGAGUAGCUGUUUGGUGCAUUGGUGAAUAUGGUGAAAUGCUGGUGAACAAUGUUGGCAUGCUGGAUGGGGAGGAGCCAAUUAAGGUAAGUGGACAAUUCUUGAAGGAUAUGUUCUUUGUUGAUCCUUUGAAGUUUGAACUUGCUAGAUCGUGCUCCCAGCUGUUUCUGAACUACAUAAUCUGCUACAUUUAAGUUCUGUUGUUGUAUGCUCUAACUUCUACUUGAAGGAGCUAGGCUGACAGCCAUCCUGGCCCUAUGCAAACAAGGUUUCAGUAACUAUUUCCAAAAUCCGCUGCACAUUAUUCAUAUAUAUGUAUCCAGAACAGAUGACCUUAUUUACAAUCUAGAUAUUUAGCUUAGGGAAAUGAACUGAAUUGCUAAGGAACCUUAUCAACCGACGGUGCACUACUAUUCAUCUAAUUUGUGGUAUAAGGAUGUGAUUCAGCGCCUUUUAGUUCUAUUUGUAACUUGUCAUACAUCAUGAGAAAUGCAUCAAAUUGUUCAGGUAACAGAAUCAGAUGCUGUGGAUGCUGUAGAGGUCGCUCUUAACCGCUACUCAGCAGAUAUGACAACUGGAGCAAUGUGUCUGGUUGCUCUUCUGAAACUCUCCUCACGAUUUCCUUUGACAUCAGAGUAAGUUAUCUUUCAACCUAACCUAAUGUGGUUGUUGCACUAAAUUAUUACUUCAUGAGAUAUUGACUCAAAGCUGCGGUUCUCUUAACUAUGAACUUGUAUUUGUUUGGUGCACUUUUGCUUCACUUUUAUUCAUGAUGUUCCUGAUAAAUUUGAGUGCAUUGCUGGAGAUCCAAGUUUGUAUCUACAGAACUGGUCAGGACACCCUCUUGCGCCCUAACUGACCUGAUAUUCAAUGACACUUCUAAGUAGGCAUGAGUAUUUUGGACGCUGAACAUGUCCUAAUCCUGUACUCAAUGAUGUAGCAUCUGAGUAGGAAGGUCACAUGGAGUGGGGAGCAUGUCCACCUGUUUUGUUCUGUGGUGGCUAGAUGAAGAUAAUUAGGGAUAAUUAAGUUAAUAGAUGUUGACAGCAUGCCCUAUUUUUAUUUUUUUGUGUUAAAGCUCCGAGACAGUUUUCUUAGGGUGGUGCCUGGGAGAGGGGUCGUAAAAUGGACUUGUUUGGCCAAUUAGCCCCUUUUUUCAGAUCAGUGCAAUCUAUUAUCACAUAUUCCUGUUUCAAGUGGAUUUCAGACUCGCAAUCAAUCACUGAAUUAUGAGUGUUUUCCCUUGUACACAGUAAUGAACUGUAUUAUGCUGUAUCUGUCUGCACAUUGUGGUAGCUAUUGGUGGUACAUCAUCAUGUAUGCUUUGCAUUUUCUAGUAGCACCUUUAAUGAAUCUUCUUUACAAGAUGAUCACAUUCUUCUGAGUGUUAACGUGACACAUGUAUCUGCCCUCCAGUAUUUUAGACUAAUGUCUACCUCUUACUAGGACUCUGCUAUACAUAUGACUGGAUUGUACGACUAGUCGCAAUGGCGGUGUUUUUGACAAGAGCCCCAGUAUUACUGAUGCUAUUAGAAGAGUUGGGUUGGAGGUUGACCUUUGGGAGAUGGCUGGUGCAAAGAAGUUGUCUUUGCUUACCGCCCCCAUUCCGGGCCUCCCUGCUAGUUAGCUAGCAUUGUGGUAGUUCUUGAUAGUUUUUACUCAUGGAUGGGUUUCUGUAUGCCUGUUAUUGUCCGCCGUAGGGGCCCCUAGUUUGUUCUUGUAUCUGUACCUCUUCUUUAAUAUAUUAUCGCGCAGUUCUCCUGCGCUUUCAAGAAAAAAAAACAUUGGAGAGAGGGGGUCUCCAUGACGGAGUCCUCUCCUAUGCUUAAUAUGAGCCCCUGGGAGACCAUUAAGCAGCAGCUGGGUGGAUGAGGAGGCCAACAGCCCACAGAUUAUGUCUCUCCAGAUUUGACCAAAGCCAAUGUGUUUCAUAACCUCAAUGAGGAAGGGCCAAGACAUCGAGUCAAAGGCUUUUGUGAUAUCCAAUUUAAGAAGACGCGCCUGAUUUUGAUGAUGAAAAAGCUUCGAGGUUUGCUGCACCAACAUGAAACUGUCCUGAAUAAAACGGCCUUUAAUAAAUGCACUUUGCAUAGGAGAGACCAUUUCAUUGAACUUUCCAGCUAGACGAUUAGCUAAGACCUUGGUGAUUAAUUUUGCAAAGCUAUGGACAAGACUUAUAGGCUGAAAGUCUUUCACAUGAUCUGCUCCCUCCUUUUUAGGAAUUAGGGUGAUAUAAGCUGUGUUGAGCCUACCAAGGUUAUCAAAUCUCCUGCUCCAACUAGCAGUAAUAGCAGCCAUAACUUCUUUUUUGAUGAUGUUCCAGCAACUUUUAUAGAAACGACCCGUGAAACCAUCCGGCCCCGGCGCCUUAUCUGACGGUAAACCCUUAACAGUUUCCCAGACCUCUGAUUUGAAAAAUGGAGCAUCCAGGUCAGAAAGGUUGCGAUUAUGCAUACCAAGGGCCUCUAGCUCGACAACCUGAUCCCUCUCAACACUGGUUCCAAUAAGAUUAAGAAAAAAAAUGAUCCACUGCAGCUGCCUUGUCACUUUGGCUUGUCAAAACCUCUUCCCCUUGUACCAGGCGUGCCACAAAGUUUUUUUCUCUUGCGAUGUCUGGCAUGCAUAUGGAAAAAUUUGGUGUUGGCAUUACCAUCCUUAAGCCAAGAAACUCUAGAUCGCAGUCGAGUCAUAGUUCUCUUUAGUGAGGACAGCCACAAGGAAUGUUUUUUAAGUUUAUUUUUCAACCAAAUUUCAGCAGAGGUCAGCAAUCUAGCAUCAUGAGCUAUCUCCAAUCUAUGUAAGAUUUCUUUAGCCAAAGCUAGCUGAGAUCUAAUGUGACCCACUUGCUUGACACUCCACACCUGCAGGCAUUUAGCCCUUCUUUAGCUUUAAAAAUAGCGUCUGAUAGGGGCAAGGAACUUCCAUGACUGAAUCCCAAGCAGCCUGGACAACAUCACGAAAACCCUCCGAUUUUGUCCAGAAAGCUUCAAAAUGAAAACGUCUUUUUGCCAGAUUUGUUAUCAAGGAGUCCCAAAACCAAUGGACAUUGAUCUGAGUCGUGACAUGCGGCACUUUGCAGCAGCACAUCAGGGAAAAGUUGCUCCCAAUCCACUGUGCAAUAUUUGAGGUAGUUCAGGGGGUCUUUGCUGUCGUAGGUGAAGGAUGGGAAUGUCGUCGUCCUGUACCUUGCCAUCCUGUAGGGAAAGCCUUGGGGUAUGUACGACAUCCCAUAAGGAAAGACAGGUGAGUAGAUGGCGGAAGAGGUGGCGGACUGCGGGGCUUCUAGGGCAGUGGACCACACAGACGUCCAUGGCGGUCAGCUGCGCAGAAGCGACGCGAGCUGCUGCACGAUCAUGCGCUGGAAGUCUCUGUCGGCGUGUUGAGGGUCGGGCACGACGGGAGAGGCGAUGAAGUCAAUGGUGGUCGCCGUGGUGGUGGAGAUGGUGGCGAAGGAGACCACCGGGUUGUCGUCGUCAUGUCCUGGCAUCUCCGCUACUAGAUUGCUAUGGUUGUUAUGGCGGUGGCUAGUGUUGAGGGAAGUGUAAGGGGGCCGACCGCGGGCUUGCCCCCGGCCGAGCAAGAGGGGAUAGUUUUCAUUAUUAAUUCUUGCUUGAUUAGAUUGACAUCUCCUCUCAUUUAGAGACUUACUUUGCUCCCUAAGAAAAUAUCCUAACUAAAUCAGUCUAACUCAUCCCUUUCCUUAUCCUAACUAACCAAAUCAAUCUAACUUAUCUCUUUCCUAACAAACCAAUCUAAUCUAAUCUGUUCGGCACUCUACUUACCACAACAGUAUGUGUAUGGUGUUUGUUUGUUUGGCUAUUUGGGCCUUUGUCUUCUUAAUGCAAGGAUACACAGCUCUCCUGCGUAUUCCAGGAAAAAAUCCCUCUAACAGCAUCAUAUCUAUGUCGAUUACUUAUGUUAUGGUGAUCUUUUGUAACCUCAAAAUGCUAGGUGAUUAUUAUAGUAUAAUACCACUUUGUUUUCACUAUGACUUGCUGUCUUAUCAGGAGGAUAAAACAAAUAGUUGCCCAGAAUAAAGGGAAUGUUGUCCUUGAACUACAGCAAAGAUCAAUUGAAUUCACUUCCAUUAUACAAAGACAUCAGUCUAUCAGGUGGCCUACCAAACUUCUAUAAGUUACCACAGAAGAUUUGCCUAUCAUUGUAUUAGUUAUGUCAGAUAUUAAUCUUAGAGAAUCUGGUUCAAGUGCAGAUCGUCCUUGCUUGAACGCAUGCCUGUAUUAGAUGAAGCUAGUUAUCUGGUGAAGCGGGCUACUGCUACACAAUCAACUAUUUCAGCAGAUAAAAUUGCUCCAACAGUCACUCCUGGAAGCCUUAAGCUUCCGAAUGGUGUAGCAAAACCCACCUCAGCUCCUUUAGCUGAUUUGCUUGAUUUCAGUUCUGAUGGUGCCCCAGCUUCCACCGUUGCUUCUACUACAACACCUAAUGAUUUUUUGCAAGAUCUUCUGGGUAUUGGUGGAGUUAGUUCAUCAACGACAGGUAUUCUUUUUCCUGGUGUCUCUGUUCUUUCAUGUGCAGUUCCCAUGUUAGCUUGAUCCUCUUAUUACACUGAGAGCAAGAGGGCUUUAUUGACAUCCCUCCGUCUGCCCCCGCCCCACCCUGCCUCUCAGAAUAUGCACUUUUUACCUUGUCUGAAGUUUGAGUUCGCUGCAUGCUCAGUGAUUUGCUAAUUAGCCAUUUGCCUUCCUGUCCUUAAAUUUACUUCUAGUGCUAUAAUACGGGUCCAAAUUUUUGUAUGUAAUCUCAUUACUUGUUAUUUUUAACCCACUAAAAAGUCUUUAUUGAGUGCUUCAUUUUUACCUUUUGGGCACUGAUGUUAUUAUCAUAAAAUUUCCUUGCUUUAGCAAUAUCAAAUCUCUGUUUUGUUCAGGUGUAACUUCAACCGCAAGCACAGAUAUUCUUAUGGAUCUUCUGUCCAUUGGAUCAUCUCCAUCACAGAAUGGCACCCCCGUAACAGACUUCCGUCAUCCUGGACAAGGUAAAAGUGAUUUUAGCAAUUUGCUGUAUUUCUGUUUAUGAGUUAUGACUGUUGUUGAUUUUUGUUAUACUGAUGUAGCAGAGUCUAAACCUGUUCCUGGUGUACCUGAAGCUGUUGACCUCCUCGGUAGUUUGUCACCAGGUACAUUUGCUUCUGGUUGCUUUGGUUUAAUGUUGAUACCUAAUUUCUGUUUAUAAGCAUUAGUGAAUUAUCUAUCACUAUUGCAGCCGAGUCUAAACCCACACCAGUUGUACCUAAGGACAUGGAUCUGCUCGACGGUUUGUCAUCAAAUACAUCUAUUUCUGGUAAGUUUGGUAGUUCAUAUUGACAAACAAAGUAGUUAUAAUGUCGUCAUGGUCACUAAACCUACUAAUGUGAGCAGGACAUGAGAAUACAACCCACCCAUCAAUAACAGCUUUUCAGAGUGCAACCUUGAAGAUCACGUUUGAUUUCAAAAUGAAGCUUGGAAACCCACGAGAGACUACAAUUCAUGCCACUUUUACCAAUUUGACAUCUAGUACUUUUACAGAUUUUAUUUUUCAGGCUGCUGUUCCAAAGGUAAAAUCUUAUUAUUGUAUGUUAUAAUCUGUUUUUGAGCUGGCGCUACACCUUGAUGUUUCACGGUUUUUAUUCUGCACACAUAGGGCAUGUUUGGAAGCAAAGUAUUUCAAAACCAUGGUUUUAGAAUACUAUAGUUUUAAAAUAUCAUGACACAACCAUAGUAUCUUUUACAUCACUUCAAGCAAUACUUGUUUGGAGAGUAUCUCAAGCCAUGGUAUUUAGUAUGCAUGUGCCAGAAGCUAGUCAUAAACAAAAAUUGGGUUGGAGUAGAGUUUCAAAUACUCCAAAAAUAUCAUGGUAACUACUAAAAAAAGGUAGCCAAACACCUCUUGGCAAAAUAUACCAUAAUAUUCUUCAAUACUAUGGUUUUAUCUUAAAUCUCCAAAAAUAUUUUGCUUCCGAACACCCCCAUAGUUUCUACACUUAUAAACGAUGAUACUCCACGAUAGUUUAUACUUUAAAGCCCAAAUCUUUUAUUCAGCUUACCCAUGUCUGAAGCUGUUGAUCAUUCUUUUGUUUUUCACAAAUUAUAUAGCUUGAGUUUUGAAUGACUCUGUGCUACGAUCCUUACCAUUUUUCUUCACCUUAAACGUAAAGCAGUGGAAAGAGGUCUAGCAUGAUCAUCGUUUUGUGCUUUGUUCUUUGUGUUUUUAAACAUUAAGUUUUAUACUCCCUCUGUACCAAAUUAGUAGUCGUUUUAGGUCUUCAUUUUUAUGUCUAUAUUCAAAUGAAUGACAAUGAAUCUAGACACAUAAAACACAUACAUUAAUUAUUGAAUGAAUUUGUUAAAAAGCUAAAACGAUUUUUAUUUUGGAACAUAGGGAGUACUUGAUAUGCUGACAAUUUUUAUUCUUGCAGUUCAUCCAAUUGAGACUGGAUCCGGCUAGUGGCAACACUGUUCCAGCUAAUGGAAGUGGUUCAGUCACACAAGGGCUCAACAUCACCAAUAACCAACAGGGACAGGUAUAUGAAGAUCUGCACCCUUCGCUUCGAGUUCAGCUUCUUUUGUAUAUCUUUUCGUUGAUUUCAUUUUAGUCGUCUUCGAAUCAAUGUGUUUUACAAUGGUUUAGUAGAAGUGCUAACAUUUGAAGUUGAAAGUGUGUAUUUUUUUUCAAUUCAAAUUGCUAAACUUUAUUUUGGGUCACUGUCAUAACGGAUGAGACAAAUUUAGAUGAACUCUUGAAUUUAACAAAUCAAAUGAGCCCUGCGCAGGACAGGAAUAGGCCAUAGUCAGAGACUUUGAUUGUACACCGAUGCUCUGUAUGUACAUAAUUUUAAACCUUGAUAAUGAUAAUCCUGUAACCACUUUAUCCAGCAUUGUUUUCAAGGUUCAUCUUCUCAUUCCAUAUUCCUAGGCUUAUAUCUGACAUUUCUUUUCCCUCUAUCCUGCUGGGCAGAAACCGCUUGCAAUGCGGAUCCGGAUGUCUUAUAAAGUGAAUGGCGAGGACAGAUUGGAACAAGGCCAAGUCAGCAAUUUUCCUUCUGGACUAUAGGCCGUUUCUGUAUACUAUGACGUGUCGGGGACAGGCAUAUAGAACGAAGCCUUGUUUUACCCUCUACCUCAUUUUUUAAUUAUUCUGGGGAUUUGUCGGGGUGCUUAGAGAAAAUGUUUUUUCCGGCGGUUAGUUUUCCUGUACUAAGUAUAUUGUAUAUUAUUCCAGCAGCGAUGUGAUCUUCAAAUUCAUCGUGAUGUAUUCGACACCACGCUAAAGGAUGGUCUGAGCAAACUUUCUUCAGCUCCUCAAUCAUUGUAAAACUAGCUUCUGUUUUUCUUGUACACUAGAGAGUAGAGACUGGUAGCAUAUUCUGUAGCAUAUUCUGCCAGUACCGUUGCACUUCUGAUUUGCGGCCGUGCAAAUUAUGGGAUGCCGAACGCGCGGAUUUCUAUCGUAAUGCGCAAACUUUCAACUGCCUUUUAAUUUUUAAACCGCUGGUCUGUACAUCGAGCAGGUCGGUCAGGUGCAGGCGCUGGUGCUCGUCAAGCUUGGACAGCGCUGCUGAGUGCUGAGUAACCUCUUACAACAAUUGCACCAUAUGAACUUAUAACAAGUACAGUACAUUGAACCACGACAAUUACUCUAGUUGACCAUAAUUGAGAUCGAAUAAGCAGGGUCAGGCAUUAUGGUUUCUGUCUACAAGUUUAUCUUUGUACCUUGCAUCACAACCUUCCAGUGGAAAACUGCAAUGCAAAGGACUUCUGCAGCGCAUAAUUUGCUUUGCUUAUCUUAUCCUGCUCUCAUCUGCAAUAAAGAAAAUGACGGUUUCUCAAAUGAUGAAUUGAAGCUUACAAGAUAUAAACAUGGAAAAUAGUAAUAUGCCCCCAAACUUUUCAACAUCUGGUGUUUCUAAUGAUGUCCUACAACUGAAAGAAUAAUCCAAACUUGGGGUUAUCAAAAAAUGCAUCCAGUCCUGAAUACGGUAAUGCUUGAACAAUGCACCCAAAUAGCAAAGCAAAGUUUCAACAGCACCCACGUAAAAAUCAAAAGGCAAUCGCUGUUUCCUGUAAUAUUCCUACGAAAUUCCUACUGUGUAAACAGAUCCUAGUGCUUCAAAUAUAUCAAAUUAAACCAAAAUUCACAUGCAUAAAUAGUUUGAAAUGGAACAAAAUGUUUGAUAGAAACUGACAACAAAUGUUUCCCCAAAAACACCAAUUAAGAAAAACAAAAUAGGCUCCUCAGAUGUCUCUUCAUCUCCACAAAAUGAGCAGCACCUCGCUGCUUUCAGGAAUUGGAACGAUAUAGGAGGCCAAUUUAAAUCAUCACAGGAGCACUCAACCUUAAUUAAGCAGCAACAGUGCAGCAUCGAGAAGAAGAAGAAUAAGAAGCGGACAAACAAGAGUAGCCCAAACAUUGAUCUAUUCAAGAAACGAACUCGGCUCCUCAGAUGUCUCUUCAUCUCCACAUAGCGUGCAGCACUGCAGCGUCUCACUGGAGCUGCUUUCAGGAAUCGGAACGACAUUAGAAGUAAAUUUGGUCAUCACUGGAGCAUCCAAGUUUAAGGAAACAGAUCCGGCAUAACGUUCUUUGUACCUCGCCUUUGCAUAAAAAAAUAAAGAAAAAAAAUAAAGGAUGUAAACAGCCUCAGAAAAUCUACUCGCAUUGUAAACAUACAAGUGAAUCCCACUCAUUGAGCAUAAAUCACCGCAAACCAGAUCCUCGGCUGGGUGGAAUCAUACAGCAGUAGCGCCUAACAAGCUAUUAGGUAACGAAUCGUUCAAAAAAAAACAGCAGUGAAGAAAUUUAGAUACCAGGUGGAAGCUAGGGUUUGGCCGUGUAGGCAUGCACGAAGAUGGUUGCGUUGCGGCAAAGAGAAGGUUGGAGACGGACGUGGCACUGGUACCGUACCAUUCGUAUUUCGGGCGAAGGGGUCGCAGCCGAAACGUGGUGGCAGGAGCCGCAGAUGCUGUGGACGCCGCCGCAAACGAGAAAGAGGCGAGGGGACUGGCGAGGCGAGGGAGGCGCAACGCCCGCCGCAGCUCGGCAACACGGAGAGCGGAAGGCCGAAGCGGCUCUUGGGCUCAUAGAAGCCAGUGUGACAAGAGAUGGGCCAUGCGGCCAUGCCCAGUUGCCGACUCGGUGGGC